GUCGCAAUCUUCUGACGAUAGAGCAAACAUUGCUCUGUUUCGGAAUUAAUUGGAAGCUUUGCCAGUUCCUCGAGGGUUCUCGGUUGAGCAGGACUACCAGAUAUCAUUUGGAUUGAAACAUAUAUUGUGAUUUCGCUUAAUUGUCGUAUGUCCUCAAUACUUUCACUUGGUAUUUUGCGAUCUUAAUUUAUUCUACAAUGUGCUCACACAGCUGCAUUUGAAGCUGAGGGUGAAAGUUUGAGUUGGUCCUCCCUCAAAUCCGCAGUACUAGCUAACUUAGCUCGCUUUGUGAAUUAUGCCUUCACGUUUUUCCAUCCAACUGCUCUAGACGUGGCCAAAAAUAAAUAUUUAUAAUUGUCAUUAUUCAAUUAUGACCUUGUAUUUGAGUUGUUAAAGAUCAAUGCAGAAGGAAUCGAAAACAAUUGAAAACAAUAGUUUUAUUUUCCGCUCACCUCUAAUGUACAGACAGAUUGAAUACUUAAAACAACACCCCAAUGUAUUGGUGUCUAAAGCUAUCUUCUUUGGCGCUUGGAAGAGAAGCUUCACAAAAUAUUAGAUGAGGGGUGCCAAUAAUUUUGCAAAGAGUAACUUAAGCUAAUAAAUAUAUCAUGUUUCAAAAGCUGGAUAGAGAGCAUGCCUUUGACAUUUCACCUCUCUCUCGCCUGCAACGCUUAUAAAGUAAAACAUCUGUAUCGAUACCUGGCUUUACAGUUCUGCUGGUGCAAAUCAGAGGAACAUUCAGAUCCCAUUAGCUCCCAGUGGCCAAAUACAACAGUGAAAUGCAUUAUGGGUCAAAGAAGUUCAGACAAAGCCUCAGGGAAGGAGGGUCCUGUGAUUUCAGCACGUUAAACCCUUAAUCUAGAGGGAUUUCAGUGCUAGCAGCUUACCGUUUACCUCGUAAAGCUCACCGCCAUAAAGACACAGCCUGGGCAAUGGUACCUUAUUAUUGUAGACACGCAAGCACAUGCACUAUGAGUGUGUGACUCGCUUGAGGGAAAACACUGAUGAGAGAUUUAAAUUGGGUUUGUCUGUGUGAGAGUUCCAGUGUGUACAUGUGUGUGAAUCUGUCACACACUCAAAUAUCAACCGUGCUGGUCUUGUCUAUGUCUGGUCUAUGGUCUGGACUAUGUAUUUUAAAGGAACAUUUUGAGAAAGAAAAAAAAAAAACAAACAUGACACAAAUUCCUGGUGAGAUUGUGAGUUCAAACCCUGAUGAUACAACAGUCAUUUGUAGUCAAGAGCCCAAGAGUGUAAUAAGGACAACUGGCUGUGUCUGAGUGGGAAAGAUGUCAUCCCUCUCUCCUUUGGGUUAUUAGUUAGUCUAAUCAUGGACGUCUGUGAGCUCGGGUACACACAAGAGUGCAGUGUUCAUCUGCCUUGAGAUGUCUCAUGAUAUGAUGGCAGAUGAAGUUGUUCACGCUCAUCCUGGACUGGUUGCUAGCUAUUGUGUGUUAGGGGAGAAUGAGCCAGUGGGUGGGAACUGGGAAUCAAAAAACUGACUGUAGUAAAAAUAAAAAUUUUAAAAAAGGACACAAUUUUCCUUUACUACAAACGCUCCAAAUCUGGCGCUGUGAGAGUGUGCCACUCGUAACGGAAGGCUCUCUCAACCGAAAUCCAAAAGUACAUUUUCAGACAUUCAGAUUCUUGUUAUGCUAUUAAACAUUCAGUACGUUUACACGGACGACAAUUAUCCGAUAUUAACCCGAUUAAGACGAUACUCUGAUUAAGAAACUAGCAUGUAAACAGCGAUUAUUGUUUAUCUUAAUCUGGCUAGAGUCAUACUCGAAGUAAACACAAAUGGUAUUAAGACAUGUAGAGUACUCCUGUUUUAGUUGCAUUAUCGAAGUGUGUACACACCUUAAUCACACUAUUAACGUCGUGUGGGAGUUUUCGCCACGUUUUGCGAUAGGACGCGUACACACACGUACUGUGCACACAGUGUGCACGUCAAAUUGAUUGGCCAUCAUUCGGUAUUUCCCGCAGCUACCGAGUCGUUACAGGACCACUACCACACGCAUCUCCAAGGGCACAUGUGCACACACAGUGACCUCCUGCAGACUCAUGACACCAUCCAUAACGGGACAUAAUUUUACAAAUGAUCUCCGGGACAUGCGACAAUUUUCUUUCCAUUCGGCGUCAUCAAAUUCCAUUAAAACAACUCUCUCCCACCAGUUCUUACUUCGUACUCUCAUCCAGUACCUCCGAGUUUGUCGCGGUGGCAUGAAUAAAAUGUUGCCGAAUGAAAGUACACAGGAGGCCUGUUGCUGGAGAAUUUGUAUCCGCACGUAUAGCAUGACAAAUAAUUAACUGCACUUGAAGCGUUUGUAAAAUUAAAAAUAAAAACACCCAAAACUGUAUACGGUACCAUAGCGAAGCGGAACUGUACGUCGAUACGUGAAAUUCUGGAGGGAACGUCGGACGGCGUGGCGCGGUGACGUAAUGACGUGUGCCGUUAAUCACUCUAUGCCCUAUAACACGUAAAACUGGAACAUGAAAGGACUAUUCUAAAAGCGACUCAUGUAAACACCUUAAUCAGAAUAUUGUCUUAUUCAGAAUAAGGUCAAUAAUUUGAUUACUGCUGUCCAUGUAAACGUAGUCAGUGU
ensembl:lncRNA